GACGAACGCUGGCGGCGUGCUUAACACAUGCAAGUCGAACGGAAAGGCCCUGCUUUUGUGGGGUGCUCGAGUGGCGAACGGGUGAGUAACACGUGAGUAACCUGCCCUUGACUUUGGGAUAACUUCAGGAAACUGGGGCUAAUACCGGAUAGGAUCUCCUGCUGCAUUGUGGGGGUUGGAAAGUUUCGGCGGUUGGGGAUGGACUCGCGGCUUAUCAGCUUGUUGGUGGGGUAGUGGCUUACCAAGGCUUUGACGGGUAGCCGGCCUGAGAGGGUGACCGGCCACAUUGGGACUGAGAUACGGCCCAGACUCCUACGGGAGGCAGCAGUGGGGAAUAUUGCACAAUGGGCGGAAGCCUGAUGCAGCAACGCCGCGUGCGGGAUGACGGCCUUCGGGUUGUAAACCGCUUUCGCCUGUGACGAAGCGUGAGUGACGGUAAUGGGUAAAGAAGCACCGGCUAACUACGUG
rnacentral:rRNA from 1 species